rnacentral:rRNA from 1 species
AGAGUUUGAUCCUGGCUCAGAUUGAACGCUGGCGGUAUGCUUAACACAUGCAAGUCGAACGGCAGCAGAAGGUAGUUUACUACUGAGAUGGCGAGUGGCGGACGGGUGAGUAACGCGUAGGAAUAUGCCUUAUAGAGGGGGAUAACUUGGGGAAACUCAAGCUAAUACCGCAUAGACUUGCUUAGGUAAGGAAAGCUGGGGACUGUAAGAGGCCUGGCGCUAUAAGAUUAGCCUGCGUCCGAUUAGCUAGUUGGUGGGGUAAGGGCUUACCAAGGCGACGAUCGGUAGCUGGUCUGAGAGGAUGACCAGCCACACUGGAACUGAGACACGGUCCAGACUCCUACGGGAGGCAGCAGUGGGGAAUAUUGGACAAUGGGGGGAACCCUGAUCCAGCAAUACCGCGUGUGUGAAGAAGGCCUGCGGGUUGUAAAGCACUUUCAGUAGGGAGGAGAGUUAAUUGGUUAAGAGCUGAUUAAUGAGACGUUACCUACAGAAGAAGCACCGGCUAACUCCGUGCCAGCAGCCGCGGUAAUACGGAGGGUGCGAGCGUUAAUCGGAAUUACUGGGCGUAAAGGGUGCGUAGGUGGUGAUACAAGUUAACUGUAAAAGCCCGGGGCUCAACCUCGGAAGGUCAGUUAAGACUGUAUGACUCGAGUAAGGGAGAGGGUAGUGGAAUUUCCGGUGUAGCGGUGAAAUGCGUAGAUAUCGGAAGGAACACCGGUGGCGAAGGCGGCUACCUGGCCUAUUACUGACACUGAGGCACGAAAGCGUGGGGAGCAAACAGGAUUAGAUACCCUGGUAGUCCACGCUGUAAACGAUGUCAACUAGCUGUUGGUCAUAUAGAAGUGAUUAGUGGCGCAGCAAACGCGCUAAGUUGACCGCCUGGGGAGUACGGUCGCAAGAUUAAAACUCAAA